rnacentral:rRNA from 2 species
CCUCGGUGGAAGAUUACUAAUGAGAGUGGCGAACGGGUGAGUAACGCGUGAGCAACCUGCCUAUGACAGUGGGAUAGCCUCGGGAAACCGGGAUUAAUACCGCAUAAAAUCGUAGAAACACAUGUUUCAAUAGUCAAAGAUUUAUCGGUCAUAGAUGGGCUCGCGUCUGAUUAGCUAGUUGGUGAGAUAACAGCCCACCAAGGCGACGAUCAGUAGCCGGUCUGAGAGGAUGAACGGCCACAUUGGAACUGAGACACGGUCCAAACUCCUACGGGAGGCAGCAGUGGGGAAUAUUGCACAAUGGGGGAAACCCUGAUGCAGCGACGCCGCGUGAACGAAGAAGGUAUUCGUAUCGUAAAGUUCUGUCCUAUGGGAAGAUAAUGACAGUACCAUAGAAGAAAGCUCCGGCUAAAUACGUGCCAGCAGCCGCGGUAA